rnacentral:rRNA from 1 species
GAUGAACGCUGGCGGCGUGCCUAAUACAUGCAAGUCGAACGAGAGCGUCCGGUGCUUGUCCUGGGCAAUCGAGUGGCGUAUGGGUGAGUAACACGUGGGUAACUAACCCAUCAGUGGGCGAUCACAUCCGGGAACGGAAGCUAAGACCGCAUAGGCUUUCGCCCCGCAUGGUUUGAGGAGGACAAGAGGCGCAAGCAUAUGCUGCUGGAGGAACACGCGGCGCAUUGGCUAGUUGGUGAGGUGACGGCUCACCAAGGCCGGUAUGCAUAGACGACCUGAGGGGGUGAUCGGCCACAUGAGGAGUGAGAGACGGCGCAAACUCCUACGGUAGGCAGCAGUAGGGAAUCUUCCGCGAGGGACGCGAGUCUAACAUAGCAACGCCGCGGGAGUGAUGAAGGUGUGCGGAUCGGAGAGCGCUGUUGUUAGUGAAUAACAAGUGCUAUAGUAGCAGGGAAGGUCUUGACGGUACCUAACCAGGAAGCCACGGCUAACUACGUG